rnacentral:rRNA from 1 species
CACGUAGGGUGCGAGCGUUGUCCGGAAUUAUUGGGCGUAAAGAGCUCGUAGGCGGUGUGUCGCGUCGGCCGUGAAAACCUGCAGCUUAACUGUGGGCUUGCGGUCGAUACGGGCAUCACUGGAGUUCGGCAGGGGAGACUGGAAUUCCUGGUGUAGCGGUGGAAUGCGCAGAUAUCAGGAGGAACACCGAUGGCGAAGGCAGAUCUCUGGGCCGUAACUGACGCUGAGGAGCGAAAGCGUGGGGAGCGAACAGG